GGAUUGUUGUGGGGCCGCCCGGGCCGGACGCGCCGCCGCUCCCGGACUGCUCCGUUCCGUUCCGGCUGUACGAGCGGGCAGAAAUGUCUCCCUUCGAAAAUAAAGGACUCAUACUGGGUAUAAUGGCAGGGACUGCUGGAUUAAGCCUGGUGCUGGUUUGGUACCGCAAGAUCCGAAAACGUGGGGCAGCUGUGCGUGUACGUGCGUUCCAGGAUAUAGGUAACAGACUUAAUUCUGUGGGCUUGCAAAAUGAGGCUCCUAAUGAGCAAGGAGCAGUGAUGGUUUUACAUGGGAGGCAACUGCAGAUAUUAGAAAAAUUGAAUGGCCUGCUACUAAGUGUGGAAGAACUGAAGAGAGAGGUGGAAUUUCUGAAAGAAGCUAUUCCAAAGCUUGAAGAGCUUGUUCGAAAUGAGCUUCAAGGGAAAGGUGAUGUUCAGAGAGUUAGCCCAUCACACAGAGCAAUAAGGCGGAGAAAAGCUGAGACAACUUCUGGUGCAAGAGAAACUACCAGCUCUGAGGAGGCGGAAAGUGAAGGAGGUUAUCUUACAGCUCAUACUGAUUCUGAAGGAGACUCUGAGGAAGAAAAGAGAUGUAUGAAACCACCUGAUGCCAUGGUGAAAUCAGAAGAAGAAGAAGAGUUAUUUAAUUUUUUACAGCAGGUGGACAAUUUGCACAAGGGUUCAGAGGAUGAUAAAAAGAAGGGCUUCAGACUGCUACUUGAGAAAGAUAACAAGUAUGAAAACUAUGUGGACUUUCUGUGGAGACUUGCACGUGCUUAUGGAGAUCUGUUUGAGAUGACUACUGAUGCUGAGGAGAAGAGGAAGUAUGUUAUUGAUGGAAAGAUUAAAGCUGAAAAGGCUGUUCAGCUGGAUGACGGGAGUGCUGAGAGUCACCAGUGGUUUGCAAUUAUGUGUGGCUAUAUGUCUCAGUUUGAAAGUGUACAAAACAAAAUCAGGAAUGGUUAUCUCUUUAAGGAGCACCUAGACAAGGCGAUUGAACUUAAGCCUCAAGAUCCUUUUUUAUAUUACCUCAAUGGAAGAUGGUGCUAUUCAGUAGCUCAGUUGUCUUGGAUUGAAAAGAAGGUAGCUACUGCUCUCUUUGGGACUCCACCAACUUCAACAGUAGAAGAAGCACUGCAGAAUUUCCUUAAGGCAGAAGAAAUGCAUCCAGGAUAUUCCAAAUGCAAUUAUGUGUAUUUGGCAAAGUGCUAUAAAGAUCUUGGCCAGAAAAACAAUGCACUGAAGUACUGUGAUUCUGCGCUGUCAAUUCUCUCAGUUACUAAUGAGUCUCUGUCUCUGCUUCUGAAAGCCUCUGGUUUGUGAUUCUUGUCAAGGACAGUAUGUUCGCUGCAGCAGAGGAAGAUGAGUUAUUCAAGGAUAAAGAGGCCCAGAAAGACUUAGAGGCUUUACUUCUCACUCUGAAGCUCUGAUACCACGUGCUUUUUAACUCCUCAUGCUGUAACAAAAUUGUAAACCUAAAAUGGGAAUCUACAGGGUCUGGAAACUGCAAGUGAAUUUCAGCUAAGUCAAUGGGAAAACAGUCAUUGAUUUUGGUUGGCAUGGAUCAUGACCUUUAUGCAUUUGGUGAUUAUGAUAUGAAAAUAAUACACUGAUUUUUGAUUAUUUAUAAUCUUGUUCUGAAGUGUAAUUUUAGAUUGCUGACACUGUGAGUCUGAUUCUCCACUGCUGGCAAUGGACAUACUGGGGGUUAGAAUGCAAAAUGCAUAAUUCUCACUCUUCGAAAGAUGAAUGAACUACUACGUGAUGGCAGCAUAGAACUGUGUGUAGCAUAAACAAACAAUGUUUCUAUAGUAAAUUAUAUCAACCAAUUUACACAGAUGUGUACAGAAGAAAAUCAUGAAUAUUUAUGUUUACACAUUUCUCUACUCUUAUAAAAUUAUAAUCUUGAUGAAGUUAAAGAAAACUGUUGCCUCUACAAAACUCUUUUUACUUUAAACCUACUGUUAAUUUUACAUUGAAAUGGGAAAAUUUUAUCAAUUAAAUAUUAAAGCUUUAAUUUAUUUGUAACAUCAAGUACAAUAUUAAAGAUCAGACCAAUGAAAUUAUGUGGUUUAGAUUAAUAUAUGUGAUAUUUAAUAGAUUAGUAUCAGGACUUCCAUCAAGUUUGUGAAUUCUGGCUCUUUCUCUUUGAAGAGUUGCCUUGCGUGGUGGCAUCAGUGUGUCUUUGGAAAACCUAGUCCAACGUGUGUCCAUCAUUAGCCUUUUAUAUCAUUUAUGUAGCAUAACCUGUACGUAAAAAUAGACUACUUAACGACCUACUACUUCUGUCUGAGUGUGUAGGACAGCAGUGCUUGCAAUAAAAUGUAACAGCUGGGGAAAGAAUUUCCAUUCACCACUGGACUGAUCCAGAAUUCACCAAAGUCUGUAAAAGAAUAAAAGCCAAUUUUCAUUGGCUUUUAAUUCAGGAUCCUAAUUUAGAUGCAGGGAAUGUAUCUGGAAUAAGUAUGCAUUUCUGUUAAAGGAAAUAAAAUUGGAUAAGGACAACUACA